rnacentral:rRNA from 1 species
GACGUAGGGCGCGAGCGUUGUCCGGAUUUAUUGGGCGUAAAGAGCUCGUAGGCGGCUUGUCGCGUCGUCCGUGAAAACCUGCGGCUCAACUGCAGGCUGGCGGUCGAUACGGGCAGGCUGGAGUUCGGUAGGGGAGACUGGAAUUCCUGGUGUAGCGGUGAAAUGCGCAGAUAUCGGGAAGAACACCCGUGGCGAAGGCGGUUCUCUGGGACGGUACUGACGCUGAGACGCGAAAGCGUGGGGAGCGAACAGG